rnacentral:rRNA from 1 species
UACGAAGGGGGCUAGCGUUGCUCGGAAUCACUGGGCGUAAAGAGCGUGUAGGCGGCUGGGUAGGUCCGUUGUGAAAACUCGAGGCUCAACCUCGAGACGCCGAUGGAAACCCUCCAGCUAGAGUCCGGAAGAGGAGAGUGGAAUUCCUGGUGUAGCGGUGAAAUGCGCAGAUAUCAGGAAGAACACCCGUGGCUAAGGCGGCUCUCUAGUACGGUACUGACGCUGAGACGCGAAAGCGUGGGGAGCGAACAGG